CAGAUACCGCCCUAGUUCUAACCAUAAACGAUGCCAGCCAGCGAUCCGGCUGUGUUCCUCAAAUGACACGCCGGGCAGCUUCCGGGAAACCAAAGCUUUUGGGUUCCGGGGGAAGUAUGGUUGCAAAGCUGAAACUUAAAGGAAUUGACGGAAGGGCACCACCAGGAAUGGAGCUUGCGGCUUAAUUUGACUCAACACUGGGAAACUCACCCGGCCCGGACACAGGAAGGAUUGACAGAUUAAGAGCUCUUUCUUGAUUCUGUGGGUGGUGGUGCAUGGCCGUUCUUAGUUGGUGGAGCGAUUUGUCUGGUUAAUUCCGAUAACGAACGAGACUCUAGCCUACUAAAUAGACGUUCCGAUCAUUUCUGUCGGANGNUCUUCUUAGAGGGACAAGCGACGUUUAGCCGCACGAGACAGAGCAAUAACAGGUCUGUGAUGCCCUUAGAUGUCCGGGGCCGCACGCGUGCUACAUUGAAGGAAUCAGCGUGUGCUUUCCCUGUCCGACAGGACUGGGUAANCCGUUGAACCUCCUUCGUGNUGGGGAUAGGAAUUUGUAANUNNCUUCCUUGAACGAGGAAUUCCCAGUAAGCAC
rnacentral:rRNA from 1 species